CCUCAUACAAAAUGAAAAAUUAAACUAAUAAGACGAGAACGCCUCUUCAUCUUCCCUAUGCCAGUUAAACCCUUUAUGAAACCCAUUAAACCAAUUUUCAUAAAUCAUGGAUUCUCCAUUCCUUCCGGUUCCGUUCAACACACAACAACCAAACCACCACUGCUCUGUUUCCUGUUGCGGCGCAGGAGUCAUAGCAAGAACCAACGAGCCACCCCCCGCCUCUGUCACGAACCAACCACCAUCCGGAGUCGCCUCUAGCUUCGCUCGCCGGAGCCAUAUGAUGAAAAUGAGAUUGCUGCCUUCUCUUCCGGGUGGCUUGGAAUUCCUAAAGACUGGCUUGAAUGUAGAAACUAUUAAGCAUUAUUGGGAAUUGUUAUGAACGUAGAAAUGAUAGAGGCCGAUUCGAGAUGGCUAAUCUCCCAAGAGACCCAUUGAGUGGGUUAGGCUCCAAGAACUAGAUAAGAGAAAUAAACAAUACUUUUUUCAAUAAUUUUCUUCUUAACAUUUAAUAAAACCAAAGGCCUUAUAUAGGCUUACAAGAAGCAACGUGAUACCAGUAGCGGAAUGGUUCUAGCAAUUUUUAAAUUUA